CAGACACCAAGUGCUAUUUAUUUUAUCUUUAUAUUUAAGAAGACUCCGGUAGUGUUUUGAGGAAGAAUGUUUUUUUUAAUCAAGCCUGAAUGCCUGAUCAUAAUUUUGGACGAUUUCGAAUAAAACUGAAACUUUUACUCCUACAUACAUGCCGAAGAUUACAAACUACCGGGAAGUCCUUUUUGAUGAGAUCUGUAUCUACGCCUUGUUCAGUGGGAGUCAGAUGAAACACAUCCUCAUUGAUUAUAUAUGGUAUAUUCGUGACUCAUUUAUUUUUAGACUGGUCAACAAAAGAAACAAUACAAAACAAUGUAUUUCUGUAUGUAGUAGUGGAAUUGGACGCACAUCACCUAGCUAAAAUGUUGACCAAUUGAUUACAGAGUGUUGCACAUGUUUUGUCAUCAAAAUCUUUGACACGCACAAAAAAUGAGAACAUCAUAUAUUUGCAAAUUUAUCUCUUUUGUUUACCCCAAAUGUAAAAAAAGUCGAUAUUCCAUCUUAAAACUUGAAUUCUAAACAUGGGCUGACUAAAAAUAUUGAUAUACAGCGCAGAUAUUUGAAUACUUAAAUAUCAUCUUUGAAACUGGGUGGCUAUUUUUAUCAUCACUUCGCACAAAAUAAACUUUGACCCCUUUUUUGAUAACACGGUAUUUUCUCAUUUUCAUUCUUGUCAUAUGCACUGGCAUCGCAAACAAAUGUUUUUCAUUUAAUAAUUCAAAAGUUUUUCCUGUUAAUUAUAUUUUAUGAUAACUUUGAUUUCAAACGUGUGUAUCCUUUCUUUCGUUGCCUAGUAUAUUUUGAUGAACUCUAAUUUGACGUAUUUGGUUUGCCUUAAGUUUCCUUUUCUGUUUUACGCCUGUUUCGCAAGUGUGGGUGCAUUUAUCUUUGUUUUCCCAGAAAAAUCAUAUUUAAAAAUAAAAGAUAUGUCUGGGAAAAUUUACAAGUUUUUUUUUAUAAGGGUCUAUUUGAGAGAAAAACGAGAACAUAUUACAAAUAUCUGCAAGGUCUGUCAAAGUUUAAAUGUUCGUUUUGAUAUAGAAUUACCAUAUCAUUAUGAUCAUUACAUAUGUCGUAGCAACAUGCUAUAUGCAUGCAUAUUUAAAAUUUCGUUAUUUAUAUUAUCUGCUACUGUUUUGGGAUAUGGAUGAUACAUAUGGGCAUACAUGUAUGUGUGCAUGUUUAUUUAUUUAUACUGGGGAUCGUACUCAGUAUUUUGUUUCUUGUUAUUCGUGUUUCAACUGAGUUGAUUUAUAAGUGUGCAUCUUCAUUGGCAAGAAUGCCAAUAUGCUAUCAUUGUGAUUACUUGAGAUAAUCUAUAUUAAAACUAACUUAUUUUUGGCCA